CGCAGGGUAGAGCAGUCUGGUAGCUCAUCUGGCUCAUAACCAGAAGGUCGCCGGUUCAAAUCCGGCCCCUGCAACCA
rnacentral:tRNA from 1 species